rnacentral:lncRNA from 1 species
UGGGUUCAACGUUAAAAACGUUGCUGUUAAGGAUCUUAAACGUGGUUUUGUUGCUUCAAACUCCAAGGAUGAUCCGGCCAAGGAAGCUGCCAACUUCACCUCUCAGGUUAUCAUCAUGAACCACCCUGGCCAAAUUGGAAAUGGUUAUGCCCCAGUCCUCGACUGCCACACCUCUCACAUUGCUGUCAAAUUUUCCGAACUGUUGACCAAGAUUGACAGACGAUCUGGCAAGGAACUCGAGAAGGAACCCAAGUUCUUGAAGAACGGUGAUGCAGGUAUGGUAAAGAUGAUUCCCACCAAACCCAUGGUUGUUGAGACUUUCUCUGAAUACCCACCACUUGGACGUUUUGCUGUCCGUGACAUGCGCCAGACUGUUGCCGUCGGUGUCAUCAAGAGUGUUG